UAUAAAUUCGUCGUUUGCUUAUUAACUUUGAGUUUUCUCUUGCUCUCUGGACUAUCAAACACAGCAUUGGCCCGAGUACAUCAUGAGUCUUCAAAUCCAAGUAAUUUUUAUAUUCCAAGCAAUUUUGUAUACUAUUCGAUUUUUGUUUAAUUUGAUUGUAGAGUAUUAAAUAUACACUUCAAAUUUUCCGUUUUAGAAAACAGAGAUAUUGAAUGAAAAUCGAAUGUUAUAUAGUUUUGGUUAUAAUUCCAUGUUUGCAAAUAUAUCUUUAAAAUCAAAGAAUAUCCAUAGAAAAUAGUCGUCAAUUUUACUUUAUCAUCGCAGUUUGAAUUUACGAUUUGCUCAUUAUAUAUGAAAACUAAAACUGAAUCAUUGUAAUAAUAUCUCUUCAUUUUUGGCUUUUGUAAUAAUUAUUCCGGUAUGGACAUACAGUUCUUUUUCAAUUUGGAUUGGUUCCUCUAGAUACGUAAGCAAUAAACUGGCAUAACAGAAAUGAUUUGUUAAUUGUUGCUUCUUUUUUUUCUGUUUUGAAAGAAAUAGGAAACAGGGUUUGGGAUCAAAAGAUCUUCAACAAUGUGAAGGUUCGUGUACUUCCCAGUGCUUCAAGGCGUGGACCUGGGCAAACCGGUUAGAAAAUCAGUACUAAGGAACAAAAGGAGUAUUAAGUAGAAUAGUUACUUCAAAAUAUUAUCAAAAAAAUAUUUUAUUUUAUGAUAGAUAAAAGUCAUGUUUUGUAACCACUCAUAUGCUGUUUUUUUUUCAAAAG
rnacentral:lncRNA from 1 species